UACAGAGGGUGCAAGCGUUGCUCGGAAUUAUUGGGCGUAAAGGGCAAGUAGGUGGUCUCAUUUGUCUGGGGUGAAAGCCUCGAGCUUAACUCGAGAAGUGCCCUAGAAACGGUGAGACUAGAGUCCUGGAGAGGGUCGUGGAAUUCCCGGUGUAGCGGUGAAAUGCGUAGAUAUUGGGAGGAACACCAGUGGCGAAGGCGGCUCACUGGACCGGUACUGACGCUGAAGCGCGAAAGCGUGGGGAGCAAACGGG
rnacentral:rRNA from 1 species